rnacentral:rRNA from 1 species
GUGUCAGCAGCCGCGGUAAUACGAAUGGGGCAAGCGUUGUUCGGAAUCACUGGGCUUAAAGCGUGCGCAGGCGGAUUUGCAAGUCGGGAGUGAAAUCCCAGGGCUCAACCCUGGAACUGCUCUCGAAACUGCAAAUCUAGAAUACCGGAGAGGUUGGGAGAAUUCCUAGUGUAGAGGUGAAAUUCGCAGAUAUUAGGAGGAAUACCAGUGGCGUAGGCGCCCAACUGGACGGUUAUUGACGCUCAUGUACGAAAGCGUGGGGAGCAAACAGGAUUAGAUACCCUGGUAGUCCACGCCGUAAACGAUGUGUGCUAGUUGUCAGGCCCUCACGGGUUUGGUGACGCAGGGAAACCAAUAAGCACACCGCCUGGGGAGUACGGCCGCAAGGCUAAAACUUAAAUGAAUUGACGGGG